AACGAACGCUGGCGGCAGGCCUAACACAUGCAAGUCGAACGCCCUAGCAAUAGGGAGUGGCAGACGGGUGAGUAACGCGUGGGAACGUACCCUUCGGUUCGGAAUAAGCCGGGGAAACCUCGGUCUAAUACCGGAUACGUGCGAGAGCAGAAAGAUUUAUCGCCGAAGGAUCGGCCCGCGUCCGAUUAGCUAGUUGGUGAGGUAAAAGCUCACCAAGGCGACGAUCGGUAGCUGGUCUGAGAGGAUGAUCAGCCACACUGGGGACUGAGACACGGCCCAGACUCCUACGGGUGGCUG
rnacentral:rRNA from 1 species